rnacentral:rRNA from 1 species
AACCAGCUCUUCAAGUGGUCGGGAUAAUUAUUGGGCUUAAAGUGUCCGUAGCCGGAUUGGAAAGUUCCUGGUAAAAUCGGGUAGCUUAACUAUCCGCGUGCUAGGAAUACUACUAUUCUAGAGGGCGGGAAAGGUCUGAGGUACUACAGGGGUAGGGGUGAAAUCUUAUAAUCCUUGUAGGACCACCAGUGGCGAAGGCGUCAGACUGGAACGCGCCUGACGGUGAGGGACGAAAGCCAGGGGAGCGAACCGGAUUAGAUACCCGGGUAGUCCUGGCCGUAAACGAUGCAUACUAGGUGAUGGUAUGGCCAUGAGCCAUAUCAGUGCCGUAGGGAAACCGUUAAGUGUGCCGCCUGGGAAGUACGGUCGCAAGGCUAAAACUUAAAGGAAUUGGCGGGGAGCACCACAAGGGUGAAGCCUGCGGUUC